rnacentral:lncRNA from 1 species
GAUGCUGAAAACUCAUGGCUGAGAGAUGGGGUACAUACACCAAGUAUCAAGGUCAAGAUAAAUGGGAACAAAGAUAUGGCAGAAAAACAGGACGCAUUAAAGCAGAAUUGCCAUUGAUCAAAACAAAAUAGCAGAACUCUGAAGAAACACAUCAUUUGUCUUCAUAGCUUUAGAGUCUUCCUGGCUUCUGCAUUUGCAGCUGUUCCUGGAAGGAGAUCCAGUUGAAAAGGGGUUGUUGCGACCAAGGAACAGCUGGAUCUUUAAUGAUCUGUCAGCAGCUCACAGCAAAGUUCCAGCACCCUGAGAUUUCUAAUUUUUGGCCUGAAUCUUCUGCAUACAUCCGCAUUUGUCCUGCCAAAGACAGCCCACGGAUGUGCUGCUUUUCGGGAGGAUGGAGCAAGGGAGGGGGCGCUGAUUCAUGUGUCCCUGCUGUUCUCCACUUCUGUGACCACAGCUUGUCAGCUUGUGCACCUGGGUGGCUGGCUUGACCUCGCUCUGUCUCGUGUUCCAUCAGUUAAACUGGGGAAGGAAACCAUGCCUGCUGCACUGGCUUGUUGGAGGACUAAACAGGACAGCUCCUCCAAACACCGGAAACAAUGUUGGAAACACGACAAGGUCUCAGGAAGCGUCAGCUGUUAUUAUGAACAUCCAAGUCUUUAUUUAUUCUGGAUUUCUGUGUUGGAAUAUACCCAUGUCUUAUUUUCUCAAUGAAAAUUUAGUUUUCCAAGAAAGACACAACACAAAAAAUUUGAAACAUACAGAAAAAGGAAAAAGAAAAUCUAACACCAAAAUUUUCUGUGUUCAUUCUAGUUUUUACUUUGUAUUUUAAUUUUUUGAAACAAGAUCUUGCUACAAAUUUCAGGUUGGAUGUGAACUCACUGGGUAGCAUAGGCUUUCCACCAACUUACAGCAAUCCUCCUGCUUCAGCCACCCAAGUGCUGGGAUUACAGGUGUGUAUAAUCACAU